GCGAUGAGAGUCGUCUCGCCGGACGCGGGGGCCCACCACAACCCCCAGCCUCUCUCCACUCUGCUUCGUCAUUUUGAGGCGCGUUGCCGGAGGUCCGCCGGAGAUUGGGAAGGCAUUGUAGAAGCGGGAGGAGAGAACCCCCUACAUAAGGAGGAUAGAGGGGCUAGAGCUCCGCGCGCAGUGACCACUAGGCGGAGGCGGAAGGGUGGCGUCCGGGGCCGUCGCUUCUCUGCGUGCCGCGUCCACGAAGCGACGGAUCGAACGGGAGGGACACCGCACGUCUGUGCAGCUCGACUCCUAGCGGCGAAGAGCGAGAGCCAGAAGCGCCAUCGUCAGCGGUCGAGAAAUCAGGCCUCAGAUCGCCGGGGGGCGCAGUUAGGCCGUGUCUGGCCGCCGGAGGCUGUCGCGCUCGUACAGCUCAUACUCUCUGCUAGCUUGGUGAGCUCCUCGUCUUCAUGAGUACCCCGACUUCCUCGCGUCUCACCCGAACUCCAGCGGAAGCUAACUGCCAUGUAAUCGUUGAUGCCACAGACAAGAUGCAGUUAACAACAAGAUAUUGCAUUGAUGUGUGCACUCACAGUUCCAUCUGUUUGGUCAAUUCACCAGUUCUCCUUCCCCAGUUAUUGCUGCUUCCAAUUUCCAUGUCGACACUUCUGCUAACCGCCAGUACAUCAUUAAGCAAGCAAAAGGCCUCACUAAAUUCAAAGUUAAAGCAACAUUUUUGAGGUUUUGUGCACACGCCCAAGCAAGAAGGUCCAACACCCAUUUUCAGUAAAAUCAAUACUAGCUGCUCAUGUCGGAAAAACAAGGGGAAAACACUGGAAAAAUAGUUGCAAUCAAGAUGAAUAAGGCUUUUGUAAAAGUGAAGGUGUUUGAGAGGGCACAUCAAGAUAGAAGCUCACCUCUCAGGUCCAUGGCCUCCAAAAUGGGGGCAACAGUUGUGGCAAUGGAGGAGAGGACAGAUGGAGAAGGGCAUGUCAAGGGGGGAGGUUUGGGAGUCUGCGACUGGGAAGGGGAAGGAGGAUUUGGUGCAUCGGCAUGAGCAGCAGUUACGAUUGUGACAGACUCGUCCCUGGGGGCCAUGUGCGUGAGGCGUUUCUUUCCUUUUUUGGUUUGCUAGCUGUAUCCGGGGAGAGGUCCACUACCAAUUUUGGGGUGUGUGCUCUGGACCGCUAGCCAGCCAACGGUUGCUGGCUAGUCGUGUCCAAUAGUAAAAAUUUCAUAAAAAGGAAAUUUCCUAAGGAGGAAUGAAUUAAUCAAACAAAAACUUAAACAAAAUCAAAAUAUGAACUUUUCUAUAAGAAUGAAUUAGUGGUUUUGGUAUUACCCAUUAAGAAGAAAGAAAAUCAAAAAAUAAAAUCAAAACAAUGGGAUUAUCUAAGGAAUAAUAAAUUGUCACAUUGGUGUUACCCUUUAAUAAGAAAUAAAAUAAACUAAAAACUCAAACAAAAAUUGACAAAAAUUGCACUUUUAAAAUAUAUGCAAGAAUAAACAUAUAAUAGCGAUGUCUUUGCAAAAAAAAAUCCUAAGAAGGGAUGAGUUAGUGGCAUUGGUAUUGCCCAUAAAGAGGAAAGAAAAAUAUAACGGUAACUAAAACAAAAUUAAAAUAUAAUGGCCAACCGUGUGAGUGCCUAGUGGGUUCUUCCUCAUAGGGUUUUGCGAGGGAGGAGGCAAGAUAGUGUUAUGACUGUGGUUAGGUAAGUGAUUAGAGUAGUUGCUUUAUAAUGUUUCUUUACCUUCAUAAACUCUCUCAUCUCGUGCUUGACACCGCUAAAUCACAUAGCCUCUUCUUUGACAAUGUUGCAUGCUGGCUUAGGUCUGAUGCAAGUCUUCAAGAAUACACAACAUUGUUCAUAGGACUAUCCUACGAUGUUUAAGACUCACCAUUUCUAUAAACAAUCUACUCCAUAGGACUAAUCCUAUGAUGCAGACCCUAGGUGGCUGCCCGAGACCUUGUGGGGGUGGGAUCGUCUGCUUUUCCAUUUUUAGCCUCUUAGGCACUUACAUCAUGUUUGUAUUCAGACCUACCAUGUUUCCUGCUAUGUAUGAAUGUUAUGUUGAGCCAUGAGGUUCUAGUUGUAAUAAAUUGGAUCUUGACUCAU